rnacentral:lncRNA from 1 species
GGAAGUUUAAAAAGCAUUUUUGGUUUUAAGAGGUUUUCUGGUUUAUUUUGGGAAAAUUGGGGCUAAGAAUGUCAAAGAGGAAAGGAAAGGCUUUGCUUUGGUGUAGAAAUCCGACUGAACGAUGCGUCGACGGAGGUGUUGGCAGUCGGAGGAGGCUGCUACAGUUUGUAGUUUAGUGGAAAAUUAAGUUUUUUUUUUUUUUGUUAAGAAAGGAGAAAAAAUAAGGCUUACUAGAAUUAGUAUCAAAUUGUGUAAAUUUUAAGAGUUAUUUUAAAAAAUAUAUAUAAUCA